rnacentral:rRNA from 1 species
UACGGGGGGAGCAAGCGUUGUUCGGAUUUACUGGGCGUAAAGGGCGUGUAGGCGGCCACCGCAAGUCGACUGUGAAAUCUCCGGGCUUAACCCGGAAAGGUCAGCCGAUACUGCGGGGCUAGAGUGCAGAAGGGGCAACUGGAAUUCUCGGUGUAGCGGUGAAAUGCGUAGAUAUCGAGAGGAACACCUGCGGCGAAGGCGGGUUGCUGGGCUGACACUGACGCUGAGGCGCGAAAGCCAGGGGAGCAAACGGG